GUGCUCGCUUCGGCAGCACAUAUACUAAAAUUGGAACGAUACAGAGAAGAUUAGCAUGGCCCCUAAAAAAAAAAAAAAAAAAAAGAAGUGGGGGGCAAACAGCUUUG